rnacentral:rRNA from 1 species
GUAGGGUGCAAGCGUUAAUCGGAAUUACUGGGCGUAAAGCGUGCGCAGGCGGUUUUGUAAGUCUGUCGUGAAAGCCCCGGGCUCAACCUGGGAAUUGCGAUGGAGACUGCAAGGCUUGAAUCUGGCAGAGGGGGGUAGAAUUCCACGUGUAGCAGUGAAAUGCGUAGAGAUGUGGAGGAACACCGAUGGCGAAGGCAGCCCCCUGGGUCAAGAUUGACGCUCAUGCACGAAAGCGUGGGGGGGAGCAAACAGGAUUAGAUACCCUGGUAGUCCACGCCCUAAACGAUGUCUACUAGUUGUCGGGUUUUAAUUAACUUGGUAACGCAGCUAACGCGUGAAGUAGACCGCCUGGGGAGUACGGUCGCAAGAUUA